rnacentral:tRNA from 1 species
UCCCUGUGACUCAGUGGUAAAGAAUCUGCCUGAAAUGCAGGAGACCCAGGUUCAAUCCCUGGGUUGGGAA